AAAGGUAGCAUAGUAAUUAGUUUUUUAAUUGGAAACUUGUAUGAAUGGUUGAACAAGAGAAAAACUGUCUCUUUUUUAAAAUUUGAAUUUAACUUUUAAGUGAAAAGGCUUAAAUUUAUUAAACGGACGAUAAGACCCUAUAAAGCUUUAUAAAAGAUUAAAAGUUAAAAAAUGUAGUUUAUAAAAAUAAACUUUUAUAAAUUUAUUAUGUUGGGGCGACACAGAUAUAAAUGAAGAUAACUGUCAGUAAAAUAAACAAUUAUUUUUGGAUAUAAUGAUCCUUUAAUAAAGAUUAAAAGAAAAAGUUACUUUAGGGAUAACAGCGUUAUUCUCUUUAAGAGUUCUUAUCAAAAAGAGAGUUUGCGACCUCGAUGUUGAAUCAUAAAAUCUUUACAGUGCAGCAGCUGUAAGAAGAGGGUCUGUU
rnacentral:rRNA from 1 species